rnacentral:ncRNA from 1 species
CAAAGGUUUGGUCCUGGCCUUCCUAACAACUCUAGCUAAACUUACACAUGCAAGUAUCCGCACCCCCGUGAGAAUGCCCUUCAGUUCCCUGCCCGGGAACAAGGAGCUGGUAUCAGGCACACCCAACUAAGCCCACGACACCUUGCUAAGCCACACCCCCAAGGGAAUUCAGCAGUGAUAAACAUUAAGCCAUAAGUGAAAACUUGACUUAGUUAAAGCUAAGAGGGUCGGUAAAACUCGUGCCAGCCACCGCGGUUAGACGAGAGACUCAAGUUGUUAAGUAUCGGCGUAAAGCGUGGUUAAGACAACUCAAACACUAAAGCCGAACACCUUCUUCACUGUUAUACGUUCCCGAAGGUAAGAAGCCCAUUCACGAAAGUAGCUUUACUUCAUCUGACCCCACGAAAGCUAGGGCACAAACUGGGAUUAGAUACCCCACUAUGCCUAGCCAUAAACAUAGACAGUUCACCCACCCUACUGUCCGCCAGGGAAUUACGAGCGUUAGCUUAAAACCCAAAGGACUUGGCGGUGCUUCAAACCCACCUAGAGGAGCCUGUUCUAGAACCGAUAAUCCCCGUUCAACCUCACCCUUCCUUGUUCUUUCCGCCUAUAUACCACCGUCGCCAGUUUACCCUGUGAAGGUCUAACAGUAAACACAAUCGGCACAGCCCAGAACGUCAGGUCGAGGUGUAGUGAAUGGAGGGGGAAGAAAUGGGCUACAUUCCCUAAUACUAGGGCAUACGAAUGACAUGCUGAAACGCACAUCUGAAGGAGGAUUUAGCAGUAAGUAGGAAGUAGAGUGUCCUGCUGAAGACGGCUCUGAAGCGCGCACACACCGCCCGUCACUCUCCCCGAGCUAAGAUAUUAAAUUAACUAAAACACUACAACUGUAAAGGGGAGGCAAGUCGUAACAUGGUAAGCGUACCGGAAGGUGCUCUUGGAAUAAACUCAC